rnacentral:rRNA from 1 species
CCUACGGGUGGCAGCAGUGAGGAAUAUUGGUCAAUGGACGAGAGUCUGAACCAGCCAAGUAGCGUGAAGGAUGACUGCCCUAUGGGUUGUAAACUUCUUUUAUAUGGGACUAAAAUGUUCCACGUGUGGGAUUUUGUAUGUACCAUAUGAAUAAGGAUCGGCUAACUCCGUGCCAGCAGCCGCGGUAAUACGGAGGAUCCGAGCGUUAUCCGGAUUUAUUGGGUUUAAGGGGAGCGUAGGUGGAUUGUUAAGUAAGUUGUGAAAGUUUGCGGCUCAACCGUUAAAUUGCAGUUGAAACUGGCAGUCUUGAGUACAGUAGAGGUGGGCGGAAUUCGUGGUGUAGCGGUGAAAUGCUUAGAUAUCACGAAGAACUCCGAUUGCGAAGGCAGUUCACUGGACUGCAACUGACACUGAGGCUCGAAAGUGUGGGUAUCAAACAGGAUUAGAUACCCCAGUAGUC